rnacentral:rRNA from 1 species
GACGAACGCUGGCGGCGUGCCUAAUACAUGCAAGUAGAACGCUGAAGGACGGCGCUUGUUCUUUCUGGAUGUGUCGCGAACGGGUGUGUCACGCGUAGGUACCCUGCCUGGCAUCGGGAGAUCACUAUUGGAAAGGAUCGCUUAUAGCGCAUAAAAUUGUUUAUUAUAUUGUAGUCAAUUAAAUGGCGCAACUGCACCACUACCUGAUGGCCCUGCGUUGUAUUAGCUAGUUGGUGGGGUAACGGAUCACCAAGGCGUCGAUACGUAGCCGACCUGAGAGGGUGAGCGGCCAGACUGGGACUGAGACACGGCCCAUACGCAUACGGAAGGCAGCAGGAGGGAAUCGGCGGCAAUGGGCGGAAGUCUGACCGAGCAACGCCGCGGGAGUGAAGAAGGAUGCCGGGUCGGAAAGCUCUGUUGUAAGAGAAGAACGAGUGUUCGAGUGGAAAGUUCACUCUGUGACGGUAACGUACCAGAAAGGAACGGCUAACUACGUG